rnacentral:rRNA from 1 species
UGGGGAAUAUUGCACAAUGGAGGGAACUCUGAUGCAGCGACGCCGCGUGAACGAAGGAGGCUUUCGAGUCGUAAAGUUCUUUUAUAUGGGAAGAUAAUGACGGUACCAUAAGAAAAAGCCCCGGCUAACUACGUGCCAGCAGCCGCGGUAAUACGUAGGGGGCUAGCGUUGACCGGAAUCACUGGGCGUAAAGGGUUCGCAGGCGGAAAUGCAAGUCAGGUGUAAAAGGCAGUAGCUUAACUACUGUAAGCAUUUGAAACUGCAUAUCUUGAGAAGAGUAGAGGUAAGUGGAAUUUUUAGUGUAGCGGUGAAAUGCGUAGAUAUUAAAAAGAAUACCGGUGGCGAAGGCGGCUUACUGGGCUCAUUCUGACGCUGAGGAACGAAAGCGUGGGUAGCAAACAGG